AUCUAAGUAGUUUAAAAAAAAUAUAAAUUUGUGGCGUUUAAGAUGUAUAAAUUACCUUAGAUA
rnacentral:tRNA from 1 species